CUGAUAGGUUCACCGAUGGCUGUGAUGAUUCUGAUGCUGAUGGUGUGGGGCAGAUGCAAAGGGACAUGGCGUUGGAGCGCCAUUGGGAGAACGGAGGCAGGUUGGUGAUCCAACCCCAUACAUCAAGAGAUGGAAGAGAUGAUGGUUCCUCAGAUAAAAUUUUGGCUCAUCCAUGACUGAGUCUAAUGAAGCACGGCAUAAUUUUUGGUAAAGCGGAUUCUUGGUUGUUAGAAGAGGAAAUCAAGUCAUUGAGCUGAGGAAUCUUUGUUGUUAAUUGGAGUUUGAAGAAUCUUCAUUUGUGCUUUGCACAGGUGCUAAAGCCAAAAGUUAACUGCUAUACGGUAAUAUGAUAUAUCAAACCCAAGUUGGUUGGCUAAUGUUGUAGUGAAGAGAAUAUAACGUGGCUCUAAACAGGAAAGCUGGAAAGAACGAUAUGGUUGGGUGGAAUGGAUUAGUUUGGAUGGAUUCUGGAUAACUCGGUUCAAUAAGGGCCUAACGACACCAAAUUUGUGACUUGAAGGUUAGCUUGUGUGUCGACUGGGAAUUGGAACCUGAUGCAUCUCACUCUUUGCUUCCGUUCCGUCAAGCUUCAAGAUUUACCUCUCAAUCGAGUAUUGCUUUAUACUUGUCUCA